rnacentral:lncRNA from 1 species
GAGAAAGAAUAGGCACAUUAUUGAGACUGCUCGCACACUUCUCAUUGAAUCUCAUGUUCCGCUGCGUUUUUGGGGCGAUGCAGUUCUCACAUCUUGUUAGUUGGUUAAUCGGAUGCCUUCAUCUCCCAUCCAGAAUUAGAUUUCGUAUGAGGUAUUGUUUUCCCAGUCACCCUUAUACUCUGUUCCCCCUCGUGUUUUUGGGAGGACUUGUUUCGUUCAUAACUUAGCUCCUGGGAAAGCUAAGUUAGCUCCUCGUACUCUCAAGUGUGUCUUCCUUGGUUAUUCUCGUGCUCAGAAGGGCUAUCGUUGUUAUUCACCUGAUCUUCGUAGGUACCUUAUAUCAGCCGAUGUCACAUUUUUUGAGUCAAAACCUUUCUUUACCUCUUCUGACCAUUCUGACCAUCUUGAUAUAUCUGAGGUUUUACCUAUAUCGGCCUUUAGGGAGUCUACUAUAUCUCCUAAACCUUUCUUUACCUCUUCUGACCAUCUUGAUAUAUCUGAGGUUUUACCUAUACCGACCUUUAGGGAGUCUAUUAUAUCUCCUCCUUCACCUUCCGCUACAGAAGUCUUACCCAAUCCAAUCGUUGGAG